GAUGAACGCUGGCGGCGUGCCUAAUACAUGCAAGUCGAGCGAACAGACGAGGAGCUUGCUCCUCUGACGUUAGCGGCGGACGGGUGAGUAACACGUGGAUAACCUACCUAUAAGACUGGGAUAAUUUCGGGAAACCGGAGCUAAUACCGGAUAAUAUAUUGAACCGCAUGGUUCAAUAGUGAAAGACGGUUUUGCUGUCACUUAUAGAUGGAUCCGCGCCGCAUUAGCUAGUUGGUAAGGUAACGGCUUACCAAGGCAACGAUGCGUAGCCGACCUGAGAGGGUGGUCGGCCACACUGGAACGGAGACACGGUCCAGACGCCUACGGGAGGCAGCAGUAGGGAAUCUUCCGCAAUGGGCGAAAGCAUGACGGAGCAACGCCGCGUGAGUGAUGAAGGUCUUCGGAUCGUAAAACUCUGUUAUUAGGGAAGAACAAAUGUGUAAGUAACUAUGCACGUCUUGACGGUACCUAAUCAGAAAGCCACGGCUAACUACGUG
rnacentral:rRNA from 1 species